rnacentral:rRNA from 1 species
CUCGUAGGCGGUUCGUCGCGUCCGGUGUGAAAGUCCAUCGCUUAACGGUGGAUCCGCGCCGGGUACGGGCGGGCUUGAGUGCGGUAGGGGAGACUGGAAUUCCCGGUGUAACGGUGGAAUGUGUAGAUAUCGGGAAGAACACCAAUGGCGAAGGCAGGUCUCUGGGCCGUCACCGACGCUGAGGAGCGAAAGCGUGGGGAGCGAACA